rnacentral:rRNA from 1 species
UUAGGGAAUUUUCACAAUGGGCGCAAGCCUGAUGGAGUGACGCCGCGUGCGGGAGGACGGCCCUCGGGUCGUAAACCGCUUUUGACGGGGACGAGAAGGACGGUACCCGUCGAAGAAGCCCCGGCUAACUACGUGCCAGCAGCCGCGGUAAUACGUAGGGGCGAGCGUUGUCCGGAAUCACUGGGCGUAAAGCGCGCGUAGGCGGCGCGGUGCAUCCGCUGUGAAAGCCCUCGGCUCAACUGAGGGAGGACAGCGGCGAUGGCCGUGCUGGAGGACCGUAGAGGCACGGGGAAGUCCCGCAGUAGUGGUGAAAUGCGUAGAGAGCGGGAGGAACACCAGUGGCGAAGGCGCCGUGCUGGGCGGGACCUGACGCUGAGGCGCGAAAGCUAGGGGAGCGAACGGAAUUAGAUAC